rnacentral:rRNA from 1 species
GGUAUUUUGACUAUACGAAGGUAUUGAAAUAAGAUUUUAAUUGGGUGCUAAGAGAAUGGUUUAACGGAGAUUGACUUUCUUUUUAUUUAAAUUGGAAGUUGAUUUGAAAAUGAAAAAGUUUUUAUGAGUUUUUGGGACAAGAAGACCCUGUGAAUUUUUUCUUAAGAAAUUUUUUUAUAGAUUAGUUAUAAGAAAUCGAAAGGAGAUUUUAAGUUGGUUGGGGUGAUUUUUAAAGAAUAUUUAUCUUUAAUUUUUGGUGGAAUUUGACCCAAAAGUUUUGGCUUAAUGGAAAAAAUACUCCAGGGUUAACAGCGUUAUUAUUUUGGAUAGUUCAUAUAGAUAAAAUAGUUUGCGACCUCGAUGUUGGAUUAGGAUACUUUCGUGGCGCAGAAGUUACGCGAAGGAGUUUGCUCAACUCUUUAAAUCUU